rnacentral:rRNA from 1 species
CUAAGACCGAAGUACAUGAUUCCAUGCUUCCAAGAAAAGCAUCUAGAGAGAGAAGUAGUGCCCGUACCGCAAACCGACACAGGUAGAUGAGGAGAGAAUCCUAAGGCCGGCGGAAGGAUUGCAGUUAAGGAACUAGGCAAAUUGACCCCGUAAGUUCGCGAGAAGGGGUGCCUGCGAGAGCAGGCCGCAGAGAAUAGGCCCAAGCAACUGUUUAGCAAAAACACAGGUCUCUGCUAAAGCGUAAGCUGAUGUAUAGGGGCUGACGCCUGCCCGGUGCUGGAAGGUUAAGGGGAACACUUAGCGCAAGCGAAGGUGUGAACUUAAGCCCCAGUAAACGGCGGCCGUAACGAUAACGGUCCUAAGGUAGCGAAAUUCCUUGUCAGGUAAGUUCUGACCCGCACGAAUGGCGUAAUGACUUGGGCACUGUCUCAACUGCAAAUCCGGCGAAGUUGUAGUGCGAGUGAAGAUGCUCGCUACCCGCGAUUGGACGGAAAGACCCCGUAGAGCUUUACUGUAGCUUAGCAUUGAAUUCCGGUAUUGUCUGUACAGGAUAGGUGGGAGACUGGGAAGCUAGGGCGUCAGCCUUAGUGGAGUCAACCUUGGGAUACCACCCUGACAGUACUGGGGUUCUAACAGGACGCCAUGAAGCUGGUGACUGGACAUUGUUAGGUGGGCAGUUUGACUGGGGCGGUCGCCUCCUAAAAAGUAACGGAGGCGCCCAAAGGUUCCCUCAGAACGGUCGGAAAUCGUUCGUAGAGUGCAAAGGCAGAAGGGAGCCUGACUGCGAGACCCACAAGUCGAGCAGGGACGAAAGUCGGGCUUAGUGAUCCGGUGGUACCUCGUGGGAGGGCCAUCGCUCAACGGAUAAAAGCUACCUCGGGGAUAACAGGCUGAUCUCCCCCAAGAGUCCACAUCGACGGGGAGGUUUGGCACCUCGAUGUCGGCUCGUCGCAUCCUGGGGCUGUAGUAGGUCCCAAGGGUUGGGCUGUUCGCCCAUUAAAGCGGCACGCGAGCUGGGUUCAGAACGUCGUGAGACAGUUCGGUCCCUAUCCGUCGCGGGCGUAGGAAAUUUGAGAGGAGCUGUCCUUAGUACGAGAGGACCGGGAUGGACUGACCUCUGGUGCACCAGUUGUUCUGCCAAGAGCAUGGCUGGGUAGCUAAGUCGGGAAGGGAUAAACGCUGAAAGCAUCUAAGCGUGAAGCCCCCCUCAAGAUGAGAUUUCCCAUAGCAUAAGCUAGUAAGACCCCUUGAAGAACACAAGGUUGAUAGGUCAGAGGUGGAAGUGCGGUAACGUAUGUAGCUGACUGAUACUAAUAGGUCGAGGGCUUGACCAA